UAUAAUUUAAAUUACAUAAUUAUAUGAUUUAUGUGUAAUAUAAACAUGUGUGAUAUCAAUAUGUUAAUCGAUUUUACAUGUUAUAGGUAAAGCUUCUGGUCAGUAGUCGGCUAUUUAAGAUUUGGAGGAGUCAAAAGUUAUAUGCAGAGUUUUAACUGUGUACAGGAUUGGCACCUCUAAUGCCUGCACUGUUCAAGGGUUAACUUUGGUUUUUUGUAACCUAGUAUUUAUUGUUCCUUGGCUUGUAAAUGGUGCCACUGUCAUUUCAUUCGUUAAAACAUACCUGAUAAUUUUUCUGGACUUUUUUUUUUUUUUUUUGUCCUUCACAUUUAUUAAAUUACCAAAUCCUGAUUGACUUAUGCUUUUUAAUCUCUCUCAGUUCAGUCCACGCAACCCUUACGGUCUCUACCCUAGUUGAGGCCAUUGUCUCUCACUUGGAUUUCUGUAGGACUAUCCAGACUGGUUUCCCUGUGUCUAGUCCAGUUAUCCCAAUUGCAAUGAUAAAGUGAAAAUCAGAGUUAUCUUUCUCCUUUGGUUUAAUUCUUAAUGUAGGAGUCCUUGUUGUCUUCUGAAUAGAAAAUAAAUUUCUUAAUGGCAACAGAGUUGUUCAUCUGAUGACCCCUGCUUUCUCCUUUGGGUUCUUUUCUUACUAUUCUCUUUUAACCUCAUCAGUAUGUAUUCUAGUCUACCAUACGGAACUUUUUUUCUUUUAAGUUUGUUUAUUUAUUUUUUUGAGAGUGCACACUAGUGGGACAGGCAGAGAGGGAAGGAGAGAGAAUUCCUAAGUCAGACGCUUAACUGAGUCACCCAGGCUCCCUGGAACUGUUUUUCGUUAUAUAAUGGUCAUGCUAUUUCUGCCUCUUUGGUCCUUUGUAUAUGACUGUUUAAAGUAGGCCUUGCCCUUGAGUGUUCUGCUGUCUUAAUAUAUAUCCAUGCUUUAUUUCUUUCCUAGUAGUUAUCGCUCUGUAAAAUCAUCAGUUUUACUUUUUAAGUCUCUCUUCUCCAGAGGAUUCAAAGCUCUAUGAGGGCAAGGAUUUUUAUCAUUAUUUAUUACAUUUUAAAUAUAUGAGCUGUUGCUCAGUAUUUAUUGAAUCAGUAAAUGGAUGAAUGAAUGAAUAUUUACUUUACAGAAAGUCCUGUAUGUGUAUGUCUGUCUCCCGGUCUCACUUAGUGUGCCUGAUAGUCAAUGUUUCCUUAGUUUUGUAGUUAUCCUCCAUAAAUCAUUUCUUCGUGGGCCAUAUAGUAGCUGGCUAGAGUAUGUGAAAUAGCAUAUACUGUUUAUAUUGCAAUAGUCCAAUUAGCUUCUUGUAUGUGCCCUUUUUGCUGCCAUUCCACUCAUACAUGUGCUAAGAUGCACAGUGUAAAGUUAGAGAGGUAUGCAUAUUUUUCCAUGUUAUGCCAUUGAAUACUAAUGGUAGCUGUUCAAACAUGUUAAAAAUUGCACACUUUUUAUCAGAUACCAAUUUUCAGUGCCUAUUAUUUUAGAUUCUCCUAAGAGUAAUUUCAUAGAUAGUUUCAGCUUUAUUUGAUCCCAGCAGAGUUUUAAAAUAUUUGUUCUAAGGAGUCUUAUUGAUCCUAAUUUAGGUGGCCCCAAGGUCUAGGUUAGAAAAGUAUCACCUUAGUGAUACUACACUGCUUAUAAUUAUGUUUCACGUGCCUCCUUGGACUAAGUUGUAAUCACUUGAGAAUCAGACACAGCUCUGGGAUUUCCUCAAUUUGGAGGACCUUGUGGUAUUUCUAAGGAAUGAGGUUGAGAAAAAGGUUUCCCACAGCCUCUUUUUAUUUUUAGUAUUAAAAAUGUAAAGUACAUAGGUAAAAACCAAGAAUAUUGUAACGUCCAUAUUCCUACCAUUCAGAAUUAAUGCUUUUCUGGUUCAUUAGAUCCUUUCAUAUAUUGGCUAAUAACUUCAGUUGGGUAGAACUUUUCAUGAAAUUUAAAAUCUGUCCCCAUUUUAUCAUUAUGUUUUGGUAAAUAUUCCAAAUGUUAAUUAUAAAAGUGAACAUGUAGAUUGUCUCUUAAUUUGUAAAGCACUUUUGUACAUGUUGCCUAAAAGCCAAUUAGUUUUACUUUGCAACCCUAAGCAAUUAGCUUUGUAGAACGUAGGACAAACAUCUGUGCCUUACUGAUCAUCCAUUACACUAAUCUAUUUUAACCAUUGAUAUAUAUUUGUUAACUUGGAUUUAUAUCAUAGUUGCAAUGAUUUGACAUUUAAAAUUUGGUUUCAGUGUAUAAAUAAGUCAUGCUUUAUGAUUAUGGAAUAAAUAUGCAGAUGCUUUUAACCUUAAUUUACUUUGAGAGUUAUGUGUUCAAUGCACAUAAAACAUUAAUUAGAUUGUGAUUAUUUGCAGUAUAAGAAAUUUCUUUAGCACAGCAGUUUUCAAAUUGUUUUACAUGAAGCCCUAAAGUUUCCCCAGAAAUGUUUCUGAACCCAUGUACUAGUCCGCUGGGACUACCAUAACAAAAUACCACAGCCUAUAUGGCCUAAACAAUGGAAAUGUAUUUUCUCACAGUUCUUUAGCUAGAAUUCCAAAAUCAAGGUGUUGGCAAAUUUGAUGAGCAUUUUUUUUCUACUCUAUGCAAGUCCUUGUCAUCACCAUGCCCUCACUGCCCUUUCCUCUGUGUGUUUCCUGCGGGGAGGGGGCUUGGGGCCUCUGGUCUCAAAGACACCAAUCUUACAGAGCCCACUCUUAUAACCUCAUUUUAUCUUAAUUAUCUCCUUAAAGGCCUUAUCUCCAGGUGCAGACAGACACAUUUGGGGUUAGGGCUUCAACAUAGGAAUUUUGAGUGGACAUAGUUCAUUUUAUAACAUCCUGUGAAGUAUUUUCUUGGAAGUGAUUAUGCUAAUAAAAAUGGAAGGGGAGUUGAAAACUGCUGUUGUCAUAAAUUAUGUCAUUCCUUCAACAUAAGAAUUUAUUAAAAUUGCAUUCACAUGUAACUUUCCAGGAGUACAUUUAUUUAGUGAAAUGAGGAAUCAUCCUUACAAACUGUCUUUCCUUGGGUUCUAGAUCUCUCUUAAUUUGUUGGUAAUGUUGAUUCAUAGACUCUUAAGUGAUGCAAGCACAUUAGAUAUUACCAUUUGCAUGAAGUUUGCUGGGGUCAUUAAAGCUUUGAUUAUAUUAUAAUAUGUUUUUGUAAAUUAUUGUGGACUCUAAUUAUGGCAACUUCAUGACUGAGGCUGAAAAGUGUUGGAUUUAGAAUCAAGAGUUUUAGCUUUCCUGUUAAUUAAGUUUUUGAUCCUGGGUAAAUUAAUUUUAUAUUUUUGUGACUAAUUUCCAAUUAGAACAUAAAAGAAUAUUGAGAAAAAAGAAAGCCCCAAAUCCCAAUUUGGGGAAUCAUCAGAUACUAAUGAUAGUUGUGAAAGCACUUUGAAAAGCACAAUUUAUGGAAAUGCCAAUUAUCAGUUUCAUGGGUAAUUUUCAAAUAAAAUAUUUAUUUUAUUUUGAAUGUAUGGUUAGAUUCCCUUAGUAGGAAAAACAACUCUAUUUACUCAUGUUAUUGUCUAGUUUUUGGUAUCUUCAAAAUAAAUAAUGUUAGAAGGAAAAACUCUGCUAUAAUUUUCCCCUUACUAUUCCAAUUCAGGGGAUAACUUAGAUUUUAACAUAAUGUGAAAUUCCACUCCAUCAUGAUUGUUGUGGUGAUAAUAACAUCUACCUCCAUAUUGUUCUUUGAAAUCUAUUAAAACUUAGGGAAGGUCCAUUUGAAAACUUUUGACUAACGUUUUGUUUGAAAAUAGGAACACCUACUAAAAACAUAAUUUUACUUUAUUAUAAUCAAGUUUUUCCAUAAUUGCCCACUUAUGCUGUGUUCACUUUUUUACUUCCUACUGAAUCUUCCCCAGUAGGUUUCUGUCCCCACUAUUCCACUAAAAAAAAAAAACUAGCCUUGUCAAAAGAAGCCUUGCCAUGUUGUAAAAUCCAGUAGACAUUCUUCAGUUCUUGUUUACUAAACCUUUAUCAUUCUUUCACAGAGUUGAAUCUUUUUAAAUCUCUCUCAGCUUUGCUUGUUUUUUUUUUUUUUUUUCUACCUCCCCUGGGCUUUCUUACUCUCUUUUGCUCACUCUUCUCUCUGAUCCCUUAAACACUGCAUGACUGACUAACAGAUGGAGCAGAAUAAUCUAAUAGAAAAGCUGGAAGAUGCCUUAAAAUAAUUCAUUUAAACACAAUAUAAUCAUAAAUGUUGUUAGCUAAGAACCCACAGCUGCUAACACUAGCCUAUUUCAUCUAUCUGUUCAGUAAAGAUUUUGUGAUGCCUGCUCCAUAAGGGACUCAGUAGGGCACUGCACGGGAUGUUUGAGACAUGAUGUUCCUGAGUCUGGAGUUCAGUAAAGGAAGAAAAGCAAAGUAGGUGCAUAGAUAAAUAUAAUGUCAGGCAGAAUGUAAAUGCUUUAAGUGCAGAGUGAUAUCAGGAAUAAAGUAGUUUGGGGCUAUGCAAAUAUAUGUAAACUUUUCUCAUUUUUUCAGUGUUUGGUAAAGACAAUGACUGGUAGAAAAGCAUUGAUCUCUUUCCUUCUAACCAAUAAUGCUUAGAAAAAUAAUGUCAAAGAUACACAUAGACCAAAAUCAUAAGGUAGGAAGUGUUCAGCAUGAAAGCAUGGAGAAUUGGUCACUCAGUAAUUUUUAUAGAAGGCUGUUAGAACAGCUGAUACAAUUUGUGUAGUAGGCAAAAGUUUGACCCUUGUGCCUUCACUCUUUGGUGUUACAUUGAUGAAUAUGUUACAUGGCAAAAGGGACUUUAUGUUGUAAUUAAAUUUAUUAAUCAGUUGACCUUAAGUUAGGGUGAUUAUCCUGUAUUAUCCAAAUGGGCCCAGUGUAAGUUACAUGAGCCUUUAAAAGCAGAAGAGGCAGGCAGAAUGCAGAAAUAUUCAAAGCAUGAGGACUCAGCACAUUUAUCUUCCUUGAAGGAGGUGGAGAGUUACAUGGCAGCAUGAGAAGGAAAUGAAUUCUGCUAGUAAUCUGAGUGAGUUUGGAAGUAGGUUUUUGCUCAGAGCUACCAAAAAGGAGCUUAUAUCAGCUUUAUGAGACCGUAAACAGAGGACCCAGCCAAUUGGGCUGUACAGGACUGACCCACAGAAACUAGGAGAUAGUAAAUGGGUGUUUUUUUUUUUUUAAGAUGUUAAAUUUAUGGUGUUUAAUUAUACAGUAAUAGAAAACUAGUACAGAUUUAUUACAUUGAGGUAUUUAUAAUAUGAUGAGAAAACCAUGAUUAGACGGUUCCAGAAUUUCCUUGCAAAAGUAUUGUGCCUCUCUCAUUUUUAUUUUUUAAAAAAGUGCUCUUUUCCUGUAAAAACCAUAAGUAGAAUCAUUAAAUUCUCAUAUUAGUGCAUUUAAUUAUUUACUCUAAACCUAACAUGAUGCGAAACAUUAAACAAAUCUACUUACUGAUAAUAAAUCAGGUUAGCUGGAAAGAGAGUUUUGGUGUUA